rnacentral:rRNA from 1 species
GACGAACGCUGGCGGCGUGCUUAACACAUGCAAGUCGAACGGAAAGGCCCUGCUUUUGUGGGGUGCUCGAGUGGCGAACGGGGGAGUAACACGUGAGUAACCUGCCCUUGACUUUGGGAUAACUUCAGGAAACUGGGGCUAAUACCGGAUAGGGGCUCCCGCUGCAUGGUGGGGGUUGGAAAGUUUCGGCGGUUGGGGAUGGACUCGCGGCUUAUCAGCUUGUUGGUGGGGUAGUGGCUUACCAAGGCUUUGACGGGUAGCCGGCCUGAGAGGGUGACCGGCCACAUUGGGACUGAGAUACGGCCCAGACUCCUACGGGAGGCAGCAGUGGGGAAUAUUGCACAAUGGGCGGAAGCCUGAUGCAGCAACGCCGCGUGCGGGAUGACGGCCUUCGGGUUGUAAACCGCUUUCGCCUGUGACGAAGCGUGAGUGACGGUAAUGGGUAAAGAAGCACCGGCUAACUACGUG